CCUACUCCAAAAACCCACUGUGAACUUACCUGUACGUUGCCUCGGCGGGGGGGGAGGCCUCGUGUGCCCUGGAUCCGGCGCCCGCCUAGGAACCUUACUCUUGUUUUAUUUUGGAAUCUUCUGAGUAGUUUUUACAAAUAAAUAAAAACUUUCACCCACGGAUCUCUUGGUUCUGGCAUCCAUGAAGAACGCAGCGAAAUGCGAUAAGUAAUGUGAAUUGCAGAAUUCACUGAAUCAUCGAAUCUUUGAACGCCCAUUGCGCCCGCCAGUAUUCUGGCGGGCCUGCCUGUCUGAGCGCCUUUCAACCCUCAUGCCCCUAGGGCGUGGUGUUGGGGAUCGGCCAAAGCCCCCCAGGGACGGCCGGCCCCUAAAUCUAGUGGCGGACCCGUCGUGGCCUCCUCUGCCAAGUAGUAAUAUUCCGCAUCGGACAGCCACGAGCCCCUGCCGUUAAACCCCCAACUUUCCAAGGCUGACCUCAAAUCCCGUAGGAAUACCCGCUGACCUUAAGCAUAUCAAUAAGCGGAGGAACUUUAGAGAGUGCCUAUUUCAAAAACCACUGUGA
rnacentral:rRNA from 1 species